rnacentral:rRNA from 1 species
UCUCCUGGAAAACGGGUGGUAAUGCCGGAUGUUCCAGUUGAUCGCAUGGUCUUCUGGGAAAGCUUUCGCGGUAUGGGAUGGGGUCGCGUCCUAUCAGCUUGACGGCGGGGUAACGGCCCACCGUGGCUUCGACGGGUAGCCGGCCUGAGAGGGCGACCGGCCACAUUGGGACUGAGAUACGGCCCAGACUCCUACGGGAGGCAGCAGUGGGGAAUAUUGCACAAUGGGCGCAAGCCUGAUGCAGCGACGCCGCGUGAGGGAUGGAGGCCUUCGGGUUGUAAACCUCUUUUAUCGGGGAGCAAGCGUGAGUGAGUUUACCCGUUGAAUAAGCACCGGCUAACUACGUGCCAGCAGCCGCGGUAAUACGUAGGGUGCAAGCGUUAUCCGGAAUUAUUGGGCGUAAAGGGCUCGUAGGCGGUUCGUCGCGUCCGGUGUGAAAGUCCAUCGCUUAACGGUGGAUCCGCGCCGGGUACGGGCGGGCUUGAGUGCGGUAGGGGAGACUGGAAUUCCCGGUGUAACGGUGGAAUGUGUAGAUAUCGGGAAGAACACCA